GUGUGUGUGUGUGUGUGUGUGCGCGUGGUUGUGGCUGUGGCCAGGAGGCCGGGCUACAGGCACCGUCAGGCCUGUGGAUGACUGGCCACGCCCAAGGAGGAUGCCACACACCUGCAGCGGAUCAGCGUGGGCAGAGGGAGCUACUUAAUGGUGUGGUGAAGCGUCCACUGACGCAGGAUCAUUGCGUGAGACUCCACGAGAAGUGUGGAGCACCAGACAGCAGCCAGCACGAGGAGUGCUGGGACACGGGAGCGGAGAGCACAAAGCCACGGACUCUUUAGGGAAAGACACCACACGGGAGUGAAGGGAGAACACGGGGAUUUAUUGUUAUUUUCCACUUUAGUAUUUCGAAGAAAACAUUAUGGACGUGUAAUUUUAUUAAUAAUUUCUAGACAAAAACAAUGAAAACACUGUAAAGAAAAUAACGCUUGAAGAUCGAGUGUAUUCUUUAGUUAGAAAUGAAACACACACACUGUGUAUAGCAGCUGACCUAUCGGAUGUGAUACUAACACAUUAUUUACCGUCAGAUGAUCCUGGCAACUCAACUGUUGUUCCCUCGAUUCAUUACGCAUUUCUGCAUUAUCGCAUUUCUGGACUGAAUGCGAUACUGCAGGCAUUCCUUAAACUUUAAGAAUGUAUUUUCCACACACACGUUUGGGACGUUGCAUUUACAUAAGUAAAUAAAACCAUUGAGAUAAAUUCACCUGGAAAUAAAAACAAAAAUAUAUGUAUUAUUUAUACUCAGUUCCUUAAUGAGUUUUCAUUUAAAUUACGUUUUCCCCUUAGCAAGUGUGCGGGUGUGCGCAUGUGCGAAUGUGAACCUUUGACGCGUCAUGAGUUCUCUUUGAUGCGUCACAGAUAAGAUAAUUCGCAGAGGGCAUAUAGGGACCCUAAACUCACUAGGAUUGUGAGUGAACGUCCGGCGACUUUUUAGAUUAGUUGGAGAACAAGGAAAAACAAGAAACCCUUUAUAUUUAAAUUAUGAAACCAUCGGCAAGAGAUAUAUUUGACCGAUCACAGCCAGCUGAUGAAACAACAGCCAAGGAAGAGCGGCACCGGUUGUUUGCUUGCAUUGUAUUGGUCAGAGUCCUGAGGAAAUGUAAAGCUCUCCAAAGCUCCACUAAAGACGAGCAUGCCACCCACACUAAAGUGCUGCUAGACCAGACAAUGGAGGGCCUCAGCAUCCCAAAGAGCGCAGAUGUGUCAAAAACGCUCGUCAAACAGAUCAGCAGGGCUGUCCUCAGUGACAUUCAAAAGGCACUGACUGCUGAGAAGCUGAAAAACAUACUUACUACACCAGAUCCAGCUGUGGACAUAAUAAUUGUGAAGGCUUUGCAGUUCUGUAUGAAGGAAGUCCUGGAGCAGGUUGCAAGGAAGCCAAGGAGUUUUUGGCGUGACGAUACCAUCAAAUUCCUAAUAUUUGCUGCUGGAAUUAUCUGUACCUUUCUUUUGCUGGCAAUCCUCCUCUGACAACAGGUCACAGCUGCUGAUGGAAGUUUGCAACAGGUGACAGGACCUGGAACAACGGUAAGUUAUAGUUAAAAAGAAAUAAUACUAGGUAAGGGAGUCCUCUUCCUUACAAUACAACUAAAUUGUCAGUGAACAUUUAAACGCCACCUGGUCGCGACAGAUGGCCACCCCUUCCUGGGCCCGGUUCUGUCGGAGGUUUCCUCCCAUUAAAGGGGGGUUUUUCCUCCCCGCUGUCGCCAAGUGCUUGCUCAUAGGGGAUUUGGGGGCUUUUAAAAAAAAAAAGUUCACUGGCAUCAAAUUUAGGACUCAGCAAA